rnacentral:rRNA from 1 species
UACGUAGGGCGCAAGCGUUGUCCGGAAUUAUUGGGCGUAAAGAGCUCGUAGGCGGUUUGUCGCGUCUGCUGUGAAAACCUAAGGCUCAACCUUGGGCUUGCAGUGGGUACGGGCAGACUAGAGUGCGGUAGGGGUGACUGGAAUUCCUGGUGUAGCGGUGAAAUGCGCAGAUAUCAGGAGGAACACCGGUGGCGAAGGCGGGUCUCUGGGCCGAUACUGACGCUGAGGAGCGAAAGCGUGGGAAGCGAACAGG